rnacentral:rRNA from 1 species
AGCGAACGCUGGCGGCAGGCCUAACACAUGCAAGUCGAACGAACCUUUCGGGGUUAGUGGCGACGGGUGAGUAACACGUGGGAACGUGCCUUUAGGUUCGGAAUAACUCAGGGAAACUUGUGCUAAUACCGAAUGUGCCCUUCGGGGGAAAGAUUUAUCGCCUUUAGAGCGGCCCGCGUCUGAUUAGCUAGUUGGUUGAGGUAAUGGCUCACCAAGGCGACGAUCAGUAGCUGGUCUGAGAGGAUGAUCAGCCACAUUGGGACUGAGACACGGCCCAAACUCCUACGGGAGGCAGCAGUGGGGAAUCUUGCGCAAUGGGCGAAAGCCUGACGCAGCCAUGCCGCGUGAAUGAUGAAGGUCUUAGGAUUGUAAAAUUCUUUCACCGGGGACGAUAAUGACGGUACCCGGAGAAGAAGCCCCGGCUAACUUCGUG